ACUCGCAGCUCUUGGGUGUAGGGUGCGGACAAAAAUAAUCACAUUGAGGACAUCAAAGCCUUUGCUUUCCUUCUCAUUAACUGCAAAUUUGGGGAACUAAGUUUGAGUGACGACAACGAUUUCAACGUCUACUAUGGGGUCUGCGCGCAAAACACAGAAAAGGGCCAUAGGACAGACUACAGUGAAAAGACAGGAGAGGCAAGAUGGAAACAAACUGGACACAGGACAGAGGAGGAAGAAUGUGCUACACCACAACACCAGGCAGAGCCCUGCAACAAACAAACAACAGAAGCACAAUGCUGAAAGGAGUUGCUUGGGUGCAGAAUUGGUGAAUUUUGAUAUUGUCUGUUCUAUAUGAAUAAUUGUCAAAUUUCAGCUUGUUUGGCAUUGUACUUUCAUAUGUAUAAAAAAUAAAAUAAAAAAUAACAAUAUUGCUACAGGAUAUUCCAAAACACCAUUAUAGUAGUGAAUAUAGUAUCUUCUUUUGAAACUGGUAGGUACUUUUAACUUUCAACUUGUAGCCUACUAAUCAUUCGAGAGUAAUUCCUCAAUUUGUGUUGAAAUGCUUAUUUUAAUCUAAACUACUGCAUACAUAUUACUUUAAAAAAAUUAUAUCUGUGUUAUCAUUGGUAUAACAUUAAUUUGGUGUAAAAUGUAAUGCCUGAGGUUUCUGUUUUUAUUUUUGGUUCUGCAAUUAAAACAAAUCAAACCUA